rnacentral:tRNA from 2 species
GCCCAUGUAGCUCAGCAGGUAGAGCACAUCCUUGGUAAGGAUGAGGUCACCGGUUCGAGUCCGGUCGUGGGCUCCC